rnacentral:rRNA from 1 species
GAUCCUGGCUCAGGAUGAACGCUAGCUACAGGCUUAACACAUGCAAGUCGAGGGGCAGCAUAUUUCUAGCAAUAGAGAUGAUGGCGACCGGCGCACGGGUGAGUAACACGUAUCCAACCUGCCUUAUACUCGGGGAUAGCCUUUCGAAAGAAAGAUUAAUACCCGAUGUUAUAGUCUAACCGCAUGAUUUGACUAUAAAAGAUUUUCGGUAUAAGAUGGGGAUGCGUUCCAUUAGAUUGUAGG